ACCCGGCCGCUGUGUUAGAGCAACUGCAGCCGCCAGCCCCGUCCCUCGGCUGCGCCGUGGGUCUGUGUGUGGGUCUGUGUGUGGGUCUGUGUGUGGGUCUGUGUCCGGGUCUGUGUCCGGGUUUGUGUGUGGGUCUGUGUGUAGGUCUGUCCCACUUACGGGUCCCGAUCCCGCUGCAGCGGGAGGCAAGAGCCGGCACCUUCAGGACUCGCUGCCCCGGGACUGACAAGAGAGCCUGCAGUGCGGAGCGGUGAAGUGAAGAACUCAUCGGUCAGCCCAUCUCACUGCCGACAUUCCCAGUGUCCGCUCCAUUCCCGAGCUCCCUCCCACACUCCCAGGGUGCGAGACAAGGUGUGUGUUGGGCAGGUGAGUGCCUGGUGUCGGUGAAUGGCAGCCCAGAGCCGGGGGUGAAUCUUGCCAAGCUGGAUGGGCGCGGUGCCCGCCGGUCCCACUACGGCCCCUGCCCACUGACCACUGCCACCUUCAGCAUCGGGCAUGACCAGGGCUCCCUGCCCCACCUCCUCACCACCCUCCAGGGUCAGCUGCUCGCCACGGAGUUCCGGGAUGUGGGAACGAUUACCGGU